CUACGGGAGGCAGCAGUGGGGAAUAUUGCACAAUGGGGGGAACCCUGAUGCAGCGACGCCGCGUGGGUGAAGGAGUACUUCGGUACGUAAAGCCCUAUCAGCAGGAAAGAAAAUGACGGUACCUGACUAAGAAGCCCCGGCUAACUACGUGCCAGCAGCCGCGGUAAUACGUAGGGGGCAAGCGUUAUCCGGAUUUACUGGGUGUAAAGGGAGCGUAGACGGCCAGACAAGUCUGAAGUGAAAAUCCAGCGCUUAACGUUGGAAGUGCUUUGGAAACUGCCGGGCUGGAGUGCAGGAGGGGCAGG
rnacentral:rRNA from 1 species